rnacentral:rRNA from 1 species
AAGGGCACCACAAGAACGCGUGGAGCAUGUGGCUUAAUUUGACUCAACACGAGAAAUCUUACCGGGUCCGGACACACUGAGGAUUGACAGGUAUUAUCAAUAAUUAUUUUACUUCAUGUAAAAUUCAAUUAUUGUGUUAAAUAUGCUAGUCCUUUCAUGAUUAUGUGAUAGGUGGUGCAUGGCCGUUCUUAGUUCGUGGAGUGAUCUGUCUGCUUAAUUGCGUUUCACUAAGGGCUUAAAAUUAUGUGCUUUAAUAUUGACCCCUCAAUUUUUAAUUGAGUGUGUUGUCUUUAUUGGUACUUCUAAGCUCUGAAAGCAACGAACGUGACCGCAACCCUUUGUUGCCUUUACUAAAAUUUUAUUAUUUAUUAAUAUAAUUAAAAAAGGCUUUUUAAACUAGGGGGACCGCUGUAAUCUUUUUAAACCAGAGGAAGGUUGCGGCAAUAACAGGUCUGUGAUGCCCUUAGAUGUUCCGGGCUGCACACGUGCUACAAUGAUUUUUGCAGUGAGCAUCUCAUUUUUAAUACAUCGCUUGCAUGAUGCUUUAUAUUUAAAUUUAUUUUUAUUUAUUUUGUCAUUUUUGCGCGAUAAAGCCUGCUUCGAAAGUAAGUGGGUAAUCAAUUAGAAGUAAAGAUUUCCAAAUUUUAUAGCACAAAUAUAUACGGCAUUUUUACCCGGCUUUUUCAUUUCGAAUUAGUUUUGUGUGUAUUAAUGAGUUUCUUUGUAUAGUUUGUCUUUUAUGGCAUUCUUAUACAGUACUUUAUCGUAUGUGCAAUUGUCAAUUCAUGGUGGGGACAGACCAUUGUUAAUUGUUGGUCUCGGUUUCAACUAGGAAUGCCUUGUACGGAUCUUUGGUUCAACAAACCAUCCGGAAUACNUCCCUGCCCUUUGUACACACCGCCCGUCGCUCUUACCGAUAGACUUCUCUGUGAGUUUGAGGGACUGGAUAACUUAUACUUCUAUGGAAACUUAAACGAACAGUGUGGUCCAAAGGAAAGAGAAGUCGAACAAGGCA